AUUGAACGCUGGCGGCAGGCCUAACACAUGCAAGUCGAACGAGUGGCGGACGGGUGAGUCAUGUCUGGGAAACUGCCCGAUGGAGGGGGAUAACUACUGGAAACGGUAGCUAAUACCGACUACACUCGGAUGUGCCCAGAUGGGAUUGGCUAGUAGGCGGGGUAAGGGCUCACCUAGGCGACGAUCCCUGGCUGGUCUGAGAGGAUGACCAGCCACACUGGAACUGAGAAACGGUCCAGACGCCUACGGGAGGCAGCAGUGGGGAAUAUUGCACAAUGGGCGCAAGCCUGAUGCAGCCAUGCCGCGUGUAUGAAGAAGGCCUUCGGGUUGUAAAGUACUUUCAGCGAGGAGGCGUUACUCGCAGAAGAAGCACCGGCUAACUCCGUGCCAGCAGCCGCGGUAAUUC
rnacentral:rRNA from 1 species